rnacentral:tRNA from 2 species
GGCAGGUUACCCGAGCGGCCAAAGGGGGCUGACUGUAAAUCAGCUGCGAGAGCUACGGGGGUUCGAAUCCCUCACCUGCCACCA